GACAGAGGGUGCGAGCGUUGUCCGGAAUCACUGGGCGUAAAGGGCGCGUAGGUGGCGCGACAAGUCAGUGGUGAAAGCUCGGCGCUCAACGCCGAGUCGGCCACUGAGACUGUCGGAGCUGAGGCACUGUAGAGGCUAAUGGAAUUCCGGGUGUAGCGGUGGAAUGCGUAGAGAUCCGGAAGAACACCGGUGGCGAAGGCGGUUAGCUGGGCAGUUGCUGACACUGAGGCGCGACAGCGUGGGGAGCAACAGG
rnacentral:rRNA from 1 species